UACGGAGGGGGCUAGCGUUGUUCGGAAUUACUGGGCGUAAAGCGCACGUAGGCGGCUUUGUAAGUUAGAGGUGAAAGCCCAGGGCUUAACCCUGGAAUUGCCUUUAAGACUGCAUCGCUAGAAUCGUGGAGAGGUGAGUGGAAUUCCGAGUGUAGAGGUGAAAUUCGUAGAUAUUCGGAAGAAACACCAGUGGCGAAGGACGACUCAC
rnacentral:rRNA from 1 species